UGAGCCAAGUUUAGGGUUUUCUCAAAACCCAAGCAGUAUUGAACUGAAGAGUUUGAUCAUGGCUCAGAUUGAACGCUGGCGGCAGGCCUAACACAUGCAAGUCGAGCGGAUGAAGGGGGCUUGCUCCUGG
rnacentral:rRNA from 1 species